GAUGAACGCUGGCGGCGUGCUUAACACAUGCAAGUCGAACGAGAAGUGAAGACGGAAACCUUCGGGCGGAAGGCUUUAUUUCGAGUGGCGGACGGGUGAGUAACGCGUGGGUAACCUGCCUCAUACAGGGGGAUAACAGUUGGAAACGACUGUUAAUACCGCAUAAGACCACAGCACCGCAUGGUGCGGGGGUAAAAACUCCGGUGGUAUGAGAUGGACCCGCGUUCGAUUAGCCAGUUGGCGGGGUAACGGCCCACCAAAGCGACGAUCGAUAGCCGAUCUGAGAGGAUGACCGGCCACAUUGGGACUGAGACACGGCCCAAACUCCUACGGGAGGCAGCAGUGGGGAAUAUUGCACAAUGGGGGAAACCCUGAUGCAGCGACGCCGCGUGAGUGAAGAAGUAUUUGGGUAUGUAAAGCUCUAUCAGCAGGGAAGAAAAUGACGGUACCUGAGUAAGAAGCCCCGGCUAACUACGUG
rnacentral:rRNA from 1 species